GUGGAUUAUAUACCCUAGUAGUCCACGCCCUAAACGAUGUCAACUGGUUGUUGGGGAAGGUAACUUUCUUAGUAACGAAGCUAACGCGUGAAGUUGACCGCCUGGGGAGUACGGCCGCAAGGUUAAAACUCAAAGGAAUUGACGGGGACCCGCACAAGCGGUGGAUGAUGUGGAUUAAUUCGAUGCAACGCGAAGAACCUUACCUACCCUUGACAUGUAGCGAACCCUGCUGAGAGGUGGGGGUGCCCGAAAGGGAGCGCUAACACAGGUGCUGCAUGGCCGUCGACAGCU
rnacentral:rRNA from 1 species